ensembl:lncRNA
CGGCUCCCUCCGGGGCGAGCGGGAGCGGCAGGCCACCGCCUCGGGCUCGCAGCCCGGCAGCUCCGGGCAGGUGGAGGAGAUCAACACCAAAGAGGUGGCUCAGCGGAUCACGGCCGAGCUGAAGCGCUACAGCAUCCCGCAGGCGAUCUUUGCGCAGAGGAUCUUGUGCCGCUCUCAAGGCACCCUGUCGGACCUGCUGCGGAACCCCAAGCCCUGGAGUAAGCUCAAGUCGGGCCGGGAGACUUUCCGGAGGAUGUGGAAAUGGUUGCAGGAGCCGGAAUUUCAGAGGAUGUCCGCGCUCAGGCUCGCAGCUUGCAAACGCAAAGAGCAAGAGCAGCAGAAAGACAGGAGCCUGCAGCCCAAGAAGCAGCGGCUGGUCUUCACGGACCUCCAGCGCCGCACCCUGAUUGCCAUCUUCAAGGAGAACAAGCGCCCAUCCAAAGAAAUGCAGAUGACCAUCUCACAGCAACUCGGCUUGGAGCUCAACACCGUCAGCAACUUCUUCAUGAAUGCCCGCCGGCGGUGUAUGAACCGCUGGCAGGAGGAGCCAGGCACCAACCCUGGAGUCCCUUCUUCUUCUACAAGCACUUUCUCCAAAGCAUGAUGUCCCCCAGCCCUCCCUGCCCUUUCCCAGACAUCCUCCUCAUGACAAAGCCAACCCCAAACUUACACGCAUACCCCCAGCGGCUGAGCUGACUGGGGUGGGUACUCUUGGGCACUGCAAGUCCGUUGGCCUCCCAAACCCUCUGUCACGUCCUGCUGCUGUAUCCUCCAAGCUCAUGGAGGAGGGGAAGGGUUUGCAACUGGUUCAGUUUCUCUCCAGCAGGAAGGCUGGGAGGAAACCCCCAGUGGAGUGAAAGAUGACAUGGAGGGAGAGGGCAAGGUGCUGUUUUUGAAGCAUCCUUGCCACAAAACCUUGUCUUCACCCACCCACCAGGGUCCAACCCUCGAGGAGAGGGGCACCUCAUCCCCUCCAGUCCUCCCAACCUCAAGGUGCCCACCAGGGCCACUGUGGUGGAGGUGGGUGAGAUACAAGAGGUGGAGCCAUGGGGCCAGGCAGCAGCACAACCCCAACAAACUGGGGCCAAAACCCAUAUGAUUUAAGGAGAGACAAGCAGGGAAAACUCUCCAUGGCUGCAGUCUCUGGUUCUUGAAGCUUUCUACAAGCUAAGGUGCAGCAGGGUGUCCCAAAGCAGCCAGGCCCUCUCUCCCACUCGAAGCUUUGGGAAACCUGCUCAAAGGCUUCCCUGCACUCCCGGGUGCUUCGGUCUCCUCCACAGUCACCUUCCUCUCACCCACCCUGCAACGCCCCCAAGAGCACCCACCACCUGCUGGCCCCGAGUCCCCAUGCACAUGCACACCCCAACCUAUGAGAGCACCUGUCCCCUGGGUCCCUCCCAGACAAACUCCAUGGCAAAGGAGAUGGCGGAGGCACCGCGUUGCUGUGGCCACCCGCCACCGCCGCUGCACACCCAAGCUUCUCUGAGUGCCACACUGCAGCCCAGCAGCCAGAGGCAGGGGACUGCAGCUUGCACUGUGUUGCCUAGAGCCCAAGCAGGUCAAGAAGCACAUUUUAGGUACAGAAAUCGGGUAUUUAAAUAGGAAUUGUUUGAAAGGAGAUGGGAGGAGAGACUUCGAGUGAAGGAUCUGAUCUUUCCUGGUGACUGGCUCAGUGGGGGCCAGGCUGGCUCCACCAUAUUCGCCGCUUGGUUUCUGGUUCACUUUUCAGUUGAGGAAUGAACUCAGACACAGCACUGUUUUGUUGGCUUUGUGUCUUGCCCCAUCUGCCCCUCGACACACACACUGUUGUCCCCUGCCCUUUGUCCUCAUCUCUGCUACCAAAGAAAUUGAAAAACCAAAAACCAAACAACAAAAAUCCCUCCGGGGAAGCAAUGUUGGUGCACGGUGGAAGAAGCAAAUCUCACGGAUCUGGUUGCAAAAUCAAGCCCUGUGUGUGAGAAAGGGAAAAAUAAACCAAAAAGGAAUAAUAAUAUAAAGGAGAAA